AGAUUAAGUUAUUAAGGGCGCACGGUGGAUGCCUUGGCACUAGAAGCCGAUGAAGGACGUUACUAACGACGAUAUGCUUUGGGGAGCUGUAAGUAAGCUUUGAUCCAGAGAUUUCCGAAUGGGGAAACCCAGCAUGAGUUAUGUCAUGUUAUCGAUAUGUGAAUACAUAGCAUAUCAGAAGGCACACCCGGAGAACUGAAACAUCUUAGUACCCGGAGGAAGAGAAAGAAAAUUCGAUUCCCUUAGUAGCGGCGAGCGAAACGGGAAGAGCCCAAACCAACAAGCUUGCUUGUUGGGGUUGUAGGACACUCUAUACGGAGUUACAAAGGACGACAUUAGACGAAUCAUCUGGAAAGAUGAAUCAAAGAAGGUAAUAAUCCUGUAGUCGAAAAUGUUGUCUCUCUUGAGUGGAUCCUGAGUACGACGGAGCACGUGAAAUUCCGUCGGAAUCUGGGAGGACCAUCUCCUAAGGCUAAAUACUCUCUAGUGACCGAUAGUGAACCAGUACCGUGAGGGAAAGGUGAAAAGCACCCCGGAAGGGGAGUGAAAUAGAACCUGAAACCGUGUGCUUACAAGUAGUCAGAGCCCGUUAAUGGGUGAUGGCGUGCCUUUUGUAGAAUGAACCGGCGAGUUACGAUUUGAUGCAAGGUUAAGCAGUAAAUGUGGAGCCGUAGCGAAAGCGAGUCUGAAUAGGGCGUUUAGUAUUUGGUCGUAGACCCGAAACCAGGUGAUCUACCCUUGGUCAGGUUGAAGUUCAGGUAACACUGAAUGGAGGACCGAACCGACUUACGUUGAAAAGUGAGCGGAUGAACUGAGGGUAGCGGAGAAAUUCCAAUCGAACCUGGAGAUAGCUGGUUCUCUCCGAAAUAGCUUUAGGGCUAGCCUCAAGUGAUGAUUAUUGGAGGUAGAGCACUGUUUGGACGAGGGGCCCCUCUCGGGUUACCGAAUUCAGACAAACUCCGAAUGCCAAUUAAUUUAACUUGGGAGUCAGAACAUGGGUGAUAAGGUCCGUGUUCGAAAGGGAAACAGCCCAGACCACCAGCUAAGGUCCCAAAAUAUAUGUUAAGUGGAAAAGGAUGUGGCGUUGCCCAGACAACUAGGAUGUUGGCUUAGAAGCAGCCAUCAUUUAAAGAGUGCGUAAUAGCUCACUAGUCGAGUGACACUGCGCCGAAAAUGUACCGGGGCUAAACAUAUUACCGAAGCUGUGGAUUGUCCUUUGGACAAUGGUAGGAGAGCGUUCUAAGGGCGUUGAAGCAUGAUCGUAAGGACNNNNNNNNNNNNNNNNNNNNNNNNNNNNNNNNNNNNNNNNNNNNNNNNNNNNNNNNNNNNNNNNNNNNNNNNNNNNNNNNNNNNNNNNNNNNNNNNUGGGGGGACGCAGUAGGAUAGGCGAAGCGUGCGAUUGGAUUGCACGUCUAAGCAGUAAGGCUGAGUAUUAGGCAAAUCCGGUACUCGUUAAGGCUGAGCUGUGAUGGGGAGAAGACAUUGUGUCUUCGAGUCGUUGAUUUCACACUGCCGAGAAAAGCCUCUAGAUAGAAAAUAGGUGCCCGUACCGCAAACCGACACAGGUAGUCAAGAUGAGAAUUCUAAGGUGAGCGAGCGAACUCUCGUUAAGGAACUCGGCAAAAUGACCCCGUAACUUCGGGAGAAGGGGUGCUCUUUAGGGUUAACGCCCAGAAGAGCCGCAGUGAAUAGGCCCAAGCGACUGUUUAUCAAAAACACAGGUCUCUGCUAAACCGUAAGGUGAUGUAUAGGGGCUGACGCCUGCCCGGUGCUGGAAGGUUAAGAGGAGUGGUUAGCUUCUGCGAAGCUACGAAUCGAAGCCCCAGUAAACGGCGGCCGUAACUAUAACGGUCCUAAGGUAGCGAAAUUCCUUGUCGGGUAAGUUCCGACCCGCACGAAAGGCGUAACGAUUUGGGCACUGUCUCAACGAGAGACUCGGUGAAAUCAUAGUACCUGUGAAGAUGCAGGUUACCCGCGACAGGACGGAAAGACCCCGUGGAGCUUUACUGUAGCCUGAUAUUGAAAUUCGGCACAGCUUGUACAGGAUAGGUAGGAGCCUUUGAAACGUGAGCGCUAGCUUACGUGGAGGCGCUGGUGGGAUACUACCCUAGCUGUGUUGGCUUUCUAACCCGCACCACUUAUCGUGGUGGGAGACAGUGUCAGGCGGGCAGUUUGACUGGGGCGGUCGCCUCCUAAAAGGUAACGGAGGCGCUCAAAGGUUCCCUCAGAAUGGUUGGAAAUCAUUCAUAGAGUGUAAAGGCAUAAGGGAGCUUGACUGCGAGACCUACAAGUCGAGCAGGGUCGAAAGACGGACUUAGUGAUCCGGUGGUUCCGCAUGGAAGGGCCAUCGCUCAACGGAUAAAAGCUACCCCGGGGAUAACAGGCUUAUCUCCCCCAAGAGUUCACAUCGACGGGGAGGUUUGGCACCUCGAUGUCGGCUCAUCGCAUCCUGGGGCUGUAGUCGGUCCCAAGGGUUGGGCUGUUCGCCCAUUAAAGCGGUACGCGAGCUGGGUUCAGAACGUCGUGAGACAGUUCGGUCCCUAUCCGUCGUGGGCGUAGGAAAUUUGAGAGGAGCUGUCCUUAGUACGAGAGGACCGGGAUGGACAUACCUCUGGUGUACCAGUUGUCGUGCCAACGGCAUAGCUGGGUAGCUAUGUGUGGACGGGAUAAGUGCUGAAAGCAUCUAAGCAUGAAGCCCCCCUCAAGAUGAGAUUUCCCAACUUCGGUUAUAAGAUCCCUCAAAGAUGAUGAGGUUAAUAGGUUCGAGGUGGAAGCAUGGUGACAUGUGGAGCUGACGAAUACUAAUCGAUCGAAGACUUAAUCAAAA
rnacentral:rRNA from 1 species